CAGUCGCCGCGGGAAAACGAAGGGGGCUAGCGUUGUUCGGAUUUACUGGGCGUAAAGGGUGCGUAGGCGGAUUGUUAAGUCAGGGGUGAAAUCCCGAGGCUCAACCUCGGAACUGCCUUUGAUACUGGCGAUCUUGAGUCCGGGAGAGGUGAGUGGGACUGCGAGUGUAGAGGUGAAAUUCGUAGAUAUUCGCAAGAACACCGGUGGCGAAGGCGACUUUCUGGACGAAAACUGACGCUGAGGCGCGAAAGCCAGGGGAGCGAACGGGAUUAGAUACCCGUGUAGUCCCUGUCUCUUAUAC
rnacentral:rRNA from 1 species